ACUCAUAUAUCAUUUUGAUAAUGGAAAUUCGUAAGAUACAUUCUGUUUUGUUUCUAUGUACAGGAAAUAUUGUCCGUUCAACUAUGGCUGAAAUCAUCAUGAAUCAUUUAGUCAAUGAUGGUGUGGCAAAAGAUCGAUGGAUAAUUGACUCUGCAGGAACCAUGAAAUACCAUAUAGGUGAUAGGCCAGACGCGCGUACAAUCUCUGUUUGUCAAGAAAUCCUCGGAAGUAAAUGUCCGCCAAUUACUCACCGGGCUAGACAAAUCAAACAAAGUGAUUUUUUUGAAUUUGAUUACAUUUUGUAUAUGGACGCCUUGAAUGAAUCGAAUGUGAAAAAUAUGAUACCAAAGGACCAUAGAGCCGAAGUUAAAAGGCUGGGUUACUACGACCCAGAAAAAGUUGAUCCGAAUGGUGUCUUUAUUAGAGACCCUUACUAUGAUAAAAAUUUAAAUAAUUUUCGCGCAAACUACUACAUUAUAAAGAGAUGUUUAGAAAAUUUCUUGAAUCAAGUUGAAUCGAAGUAAAAGAUUCUGAAUCAAUUAAAGAUAACUGAAGAUUACGUUUACGACUCUAUAUAAGUCUA